GCUCAGAAGCUCAGUUGGUAGAACACGAGACUCCUAAUCUCAGGGUUAUGGGUUUGAGCCCCACACUGGGCA